rfam:Schistosoma mattheei strain Denwood, Zambia genome assembly, scaffold: SMTD_scaffold0007604
GCACUGCUGAGGACUCCCACAAUAGGACGAAACGGCCGUCCAGUGC